GCCAGCAGCCGCGGUAAUACGAAGGGUGCAAGCGUUACUCGGAAUUACUGGGCGUAAAGCGUGCGUAGGCGGUUUGUUAAGUCUGCUGUGAAAGCCCUGGGCUCAACCUGGGAACUGCAGUGGAUACUGGCGAGCUAGAGUGUGUCAGAGGAUGGUGGAAUUCCCCGGUGUAGCGGUGAAAUGCGUAGAGAUCGGGAGGAACACCAGUGGCGAAGGCGGCCAUCUGGGACAACACUGACGCUGAGGCACGAAAGCGUGGGGAGCAAACAGGAUUAGAUACCCUGGUAGUCCACGCCCUAAACGAUGCGAACUGGACGUUGGGCACACUUAGGUGCUCAGUGUCGAAGCUAACGCGUUAAGUUCGCCGCCUGGGGAGUACGGUCGCAAGACUGAAACUCAAAGGAAUUGACCGGGGC
rnacentral:rRNA from 1 species